rnacentral:sRNA from 1 species
UAGGUGCCAGGAGAAAGGGGGACAGAACUUGGUGUGAAAGUUCCCCGUCUUUGCCUGCCACAGAAGUUUCACUGGGAAGGCUGAAGCUCUUCUUCAGCAAGAUGGCGACUUCCUGGUUCGCGCCUCUGGGUCCCGUGGGGGCAACCCCGUGAUCUCCUGCUGCUGGCGGGGCUCAGCCCUCCAUUUUGAGGUGUUCCGUGUGGCCCUGCGUCCCCGGCCAGGCCGACCCACAGCCCUCUUUCAACUGGAGGAUGAGCAAUUCCCCAGCAUACCGGCUCUGGUUCACAGUUACAUGACAGGCAGGCGCCCACUGUCCCAGGCCACAGGGGCUGUGGUCUCCAGGCCUGUGACUUGGCAGGGGCCUCUGCGACGCAGCUUUAGCGAGGACACCCUGAUGGAUGGCCCAGCUCGGAUAGAGCCUCUCAGGGCAAGGAAGUGGAGCAACAGUCAGCCUGCAGAUUUGGCACAUAUGGGGCGGUCAAGAGAAGACCCCCCUGGGAUGGAAGCCUCCACCAUGCCCAUAUCUGCCUUGCCCCGAACAAGCAGUGACCCGGUGUUGCUGAAGGCCCCUGCUCCUCUGGGAACUGUUGCCGACAGUCUCAGGGCCUCCGAUGGGCAGCUUCAAGCCAAGGCACCAACGAAGCCCCCCCGGACACCCUCCUUCGAACUGCCUGAUGCCUCUGAACGUCCCCCGACGUACUGCGAGCUGGUGCCCCGAGUGCCCAGUGUCCAGGGAACAUCCCCGAGCCAAAGCUGCCCAGAGCCAGAGGCCCCAUGGUGGGAGGCCGAGGAGGAUGAGGAGGAAGAGAAUAGAUGUUUUACGAGACCACAGGCUGAGAUCUCUU